rnacentral:tRNA from 1 species
CAGUGGCCAAGUGGAUAACGCGAUUGCGUUUGGAGCGAAAAGUACUGGGUUCGAGUCCCAGAGUGAA